UACGGAGGGUGCGAGCGUUGUCCGGAAUUACUGGGCGUAAAGGGCGCGUAGGCGGCCUGCUAAGUCGGACGUGAAAUCCCUCGGCUCAACCGGGGAACUGCGUCCGAUACUGGAUGGCUUGAGGUUGGGAGAGGGAUGCGGAAUUCCAGGUGUAGCGGUGAAAUGCGUAGAUAUCUGGAGGAACACCGGUGGCGAAGGCGGCAUCCUGGACCAAUUCUGACACUGAGGAGCGAAAGCCAGGGGAGCAAACGGG
rnacentral:rRNA from 1 species